ensembl:lncRNA
CACAAACAGAGCGUCUCCUAUAAAUAUAUCAGUAAUGACCAUAAAAAGGAAAGCAGCCUAAACAAAAACCACGUCCAGGCGCUGAAUUCGGGUAUUGCGCUCUUGAAAGAAGCGAGCCCGCACCGGGCAGCUCUUGUGCCAGCCGGAGCCGUGCAGAACACGUGUGCCAUUUCACCGCUUAAAAACACCCAUCUGACAACCCAAACACGGCCUUCUUUCCUCCUUUUCCCACCAACAACCAAGCAGCAUGUUACCUUCAAGUAAUAAUGAGUAGCGCUUAUUUCAAUAGAUCUCUAUUCCUACAAAACGCAAUCCCCCUCAUUUAAGCCUUUGACUGGAAGGAGGAAAAAACAAGCCAGACUUUGCCCUGGAUCAGGGAAUUUGAGAGACGUAUCCAUGCCCGAAUCAGCCACAUAGAAGUCCUAGGACAAGGAGUUAUGCAAAAAAAAAAUCACCUUGGAGUAAAGCAGACUAAGCUGAGAAUCCGAUGUACUGCAGAAAUUCUCUCCGCUUUGUGCAAAGAGUGGCAUGAUCAAAAGCACAAACUGAGCACAUGAGAGCAAGAAGCUCUAACGCAGAACCUAACCGUGGACCUCAGAUAUGAAGUAUAAGGAGUCUUCUCUCAGUGUGGAAGACCUGAAAAGGACUAAGUGACCUUUAAGGAUCUCUUCCAACUCAAAGGACUCUAUGAUUUCCUGUCUCUUAUCUCAGGACCUCUCAAUGCUCAUUUUUGCUUAUUUGCUCAUUUUUAUGAUGACAUAACUUGGACAAAAUGUGUUGAAAUGUUAUUUUCAAAACCUCCUUGACCAGUUGAGGACUAUUUCUUUCCAACAGCUUCAAACAAAGAGCAUCUACUCCUACAUCCCCUCCUAUACCCAAAGGGAACAAAGCAGGAGGCAUUUCACUAAUGCAAAGGAUUAUAUCAAAACCAGUGACUCUCCACUAAAUUCCACUUACAGAAACAUAGUGCAUCCCACGUGAUGAUCGCUUCCGCACUGGCAGGGGCCCACAAGCACUACUCUUGGCUCCACCUGAGAACAUUCAAUCCCUAUGCUGAGAGCACCACCCAAAUGCAACCCAAGCUGUGCCAGGCCCAGAGCCACGAGCACCUCCUUGGGGAGCUCGUCGCAGUUACACGUAGAAUGGAACCUUGAACUUGAAAGGCAGUAACACACAUGAGCAAGUAGUGAUGGCAGAGCAACCAAGAGAGGUGACUGAAGUGCAGUCUACUACCAGAGUGAUCUCCAAUCUCCCUAAAGGGGUGACACUGAAAUCAAGAAUGGCAUCUGCCGGGGCUGACCCCCAGCCGUCAGGGCAGGGAGCCUGAGACAGCGUGCAGGGAGGGCAGCAUCUCUGCCUGGGGAUGAGGUUCCAAGCAGUGCUGGGACCAGGACAGAGAUACCACGAGGAAGGCAGCAUUACUUAAGGGAGAAGACGACUGUUGUUCGUGCG